rnacentral:rRNA from 1 species
AGAUUGAACGCUGGCGGCAUGCCUUACACAUGCAAGUCGAACGGCAGCACGGGAGCAAUCCUGGUGGCGAGUGGCGAACGGGUGAGUAAUACAUCGGAACGUGCCCAGUUGUGGGGGAUAGCCCGGCGAAAGCCGGAUUAAUACCGCAUACGACCUACGGGUGAAAGCGGGGCUCGCAAGACCUCGCGCUAUUGGAGCGGCCGAUGUCGGAUU